rnacentral:rRNA from 1 species
GUCGAACGAAACACCUUAUUUGAUUUUCUUCGGAACUGAAGAUUUGGUGAUUGAGUGGCGGACGGGUGAGUAACGCGUGGGUAACCUGCCCUGUACAGGGGGAUAACAGUCAGAAAUGACUGCUAAUACCGCAUAAGACCACAGCACCGCAUGGUGCAGGGGUAAAAACUCCGGUGGUACAGGAUGGACCCGCGUCUGAUUAGCUGGUUGGUGAGGUAACGGCUCACCAAGGCGACGAUCAGUAGCCGGCUUGAGAGAGUGAACGGCCACAUUGGGACUGAGACACGGCCCAAACUCCUACGGGAGGCAGCAGUGGGGAAUAUUGCACAAUGGGGGAAACCCUGAUGCAGCGACGCCGCGUGAGUGAAGAAGUAUCUCGGUAUGUAAAGCUCUAUCAGCAGGGAAGAAAAUGACGGUACCUGACUAAGAAGCCCCGGCUAACUACGUGCCAGCAGCCGCGGUAAUACGUAGGGGGCAAGCGUUAUCCGGAAUUACUGGGUGUAAAGGGUGCGUAGGUGGUAUGGCAAGUCAGAAGUGAAAACCCAGGGCUUAACUCUGGGACUGCUUUUGAAACUGUCAGACUGGAGUGCAGGAGAGGUAAGCGGAAUUCCUAGUGUAGCGGUGAAAUGCGUAGAUAUUAGGAGGAACAUCAGUGGCGAAGGCGGCUUACUGGACUGAAACUGACACUGAGGCACGAAAGCGUGGGGAGCAAACAGG